rnacentral:rRNA from 1 species
GACGAACGCUGGCGGCGUGCUUAACACAUGCAAGUCGAACGGAAAGGCCCUGCUUUUGUGGGGUGCUCGAGUGGCGAACGGGUGAGUAACACGUGAGUAACCUGCCCUUGACUUUGGGAUAACUUCAGGAAACUGGGGCUAAUACCGGAUAGGAGCUCCUGCUGCAUGGUGGGGGUUGGAAAGUUUCGGCGGUUGGGGAUGGACUCGCGGCUUAUCAGCUUGUUGGUGGGGUAGUGGCUUACCAAGGCUUUGACGGGUAGCCGGCCUGAGAGGGUGACCGGCCACCUUGGGACUGCGGUACGGCCCAGACUCCUACGGGAGGCAGCAGUGGGGAAUAUUGCACAAUGGGCGGAAGCCUGAUGCAGCAACGCCGCGUGCGGGAUGACGGCCUUCGGGUUGUAAACCGCUUUCGCCUGUGACGAAGCGUGAGUGACGGUAAUGGGUAAAGAAGCACCGGCUAACUACGUG